rnacentral:rRNA from 1 species
UAGGGAAUCUUCCACAAUGGACGCAAGCCUGAUGGAGCAACGCCGCGUGAGUGAAGAAGGUUUUCGGAUCGUAAAGCUCUGUUGUUGGUGAAGAAGGAUAGAGGCAGUAACUGGUCUUUAUUUGACGGUAAUCAACCAGAAAGUCACGGCUAACUACGUGCCAGCAGCCGCGGUAAUACGUAGGUGGCAAGCGUUGUCCGGAUUUAUUGGGCGUAAAGCGAGCGCAGGCGGAAUGAUAAGUCUGAUGUGAAAGCCCACGGCUCAACCGUGGAACUGCAUCGGAAACUGUCAUUCUUGAGUGCAGAAGAGGGGAGUGGAAUUCCAUGUGUAGCGGUGGAAUGCGUAGAUAUAUGGAAGAACACCAGUGGCGAAGGCGGCUCUAUGGUCUGCAACUGACGCUGAGGCUCGAAAGCAUGGGUAGCGAACAGG